GUUCAGCGCGCUCAGGGCACGCCGCCGGAAGCCACGUUGUCACCCCGGAAACGGAAAUCAGGCCUUGGGGGUCAGGGUGCUCCCGCGCACGGCGUGGGCGAGUGUGCGCGUAAAGUUGUGCGCAGUUGGUUGCACUCUGAACCGGAACAGGAAGAGCGGCCGGCCGGUCCCCUGCCCGGAGGACUGUAAAAGGCAGUGAAUAUGGAGUUCCCUACUCCCCAGUUGUGAGGAUAAAUGGCCAGGCGGGAGAGAUAACUCAGCACAGACCGAGACCUUAACAUACUGAAGGAUCAAAAUACUGAAGAGACAUUCUCUGGGCCUCAAUGCCAUCGCCUAUUAAAGAGUGGAAAUGCACAGAUGUGCAGCACAGCCAUCCUUUCUCAGGCCACUUCUGUUAAGAACCUCUCGAAAUGCAAGCUGGGUUGGCUGAACUCAUAUUUUAUAUCCUCUCCUAAGCUGUUUGUCAAGUAAUUACAGACUCCCGGGACUUCGGAAUCUAAAUCUACACACAUGUUCUGGUUUGAUCGCUACAGUGUUAGUGCCGGGAGGCAGGUGCUGUUAUCAAUGUCCUUAUCUUCAUAUUUAAAUGAGUGCCUGAGAAUUUCCUUCCCAUCGGAGAUCCUGAGGUGGUGACUACAAGUUUUCCAUUUUCCAUCCAACAGCUGAUUGUCGUUUCUAUAGGGCUGGGGGUGGAACCCAGGGCCUUGUGUACUAGGCAAGAGUUCUGUUACUGAGCUACGGCCCCAGCCCCUAACAAACAGCUGACAGUUAUUUGCUUUUCUUUCUUUCUUCUGACGUGUUUUCUCUUUGAUGACAGAGCCCAAAUCACGCUAAGAUCUGACAUGUAAUAAACAUCCAGUAACUGUUGAUUUAAA